GAUAAACGCUAGCGGCGUGCUUAAUGCAUGCAAGUCGAACGAUCUUGAUUUAUUAAGAUAGUGGCAAAUGGGUGAGUAACACGUAAGUAACCUGCCCUUAAGUACGGAAUAACCCCGGGAAACUGGAGCUAAUACUGUAUGUGGUGGUGGAGGUAAUGCUUCAUCACUAAAGUCUUCGGACGCUUAGGGAGGGGCUUGCGUCUGAUUAGCUAGUUGGUAGAGUAACGGUCUACCAAGGCGAUAAUCAGUAGCUGGUCUGAGAGGAUGGUCAGCCACACUGGGACUGAGACACGGCCCAGACUCCUACGGGUGGCAG
rnacentral:rRNA from 1 species